rnacentral:rRNA from 1 species
AUUAAACGCUGGCGGCAUGCCUUACACAUGCAAGUCGAACGGUAGCGCGGGGCAACCUGGCGACGAGUGGCGAACGGGUGAGUAAAGCAUCGGAACGUGCCCUGGAAUGGGGGAUAACGUAGCGAAAGUUACGCUAAUACCGCAUAUUCUGUGAGCAGGAAAGCAGGGGAUCGCAAGACCUUGCGUUCUGGGAGCGGCCGAUGUCGGAUUAGCUAGUUGGUGGGGUAAAAAGCCUACCAAGGCGACGAUCCGUAGCGGGUCUGAGAGGAUGAUCCGCCACACUGGGACUGAGACACGGCCCAGACUCCUACGGGAGGCAGCAGUGGGGAAUUUUGGACAAUGGGCGGAAGCCUGAUCCAGCCAUUCCGCGUGAGUGAAGAAAGGCCUCGGUUGUAAGUACGU